rnacentral:misc_RNA from 1 species
UUUCCGUAGGUGAACCUGCGGAAGGAUCAUUACUGAGUUUUGAAUCAAGAUGUUCUGUUCUUUCGGGGCAAGUGAACGCUUCUCUCAAUCCAUCUUACACCUGUGCACCUAUCGGGGAAGACUUGGACCUAAGUUGGGUCACGACGGCGAUCUACAGUCUCCUCUUCAUACCACAUAACAGUUUUAGAAAGUCUUUUUUGCUUGAUGCAAACUUAAAUAAAUACAACUUUCAGCAACGGAUCUCUUGGCUCUC